rnacentral:rRNA from 1 species
UGGGGAAUAUUGCGCAAUGGACGAAAGUCUGACGCAGCGACGCCGCGUGUGGGAGGAAGCUCUUCGGGGUGUAAACCACUGUCAGGAGGGAAGAACGGCGCCGGUUCGAACAGUUCCGGCGAUUGACGGUACCUCCAAAGGAAGCGCCGGCUAACUCCGUGCCAGCAGCCGCGGUAAGACGGAGGGCGCAAGCGUUGUUCGGAAUUACUGGGCGUAAAGCGUGCGCAGGCGGCCGCGCAAGUCAGGUGUGAAAUCCCCGGGCUUAACCUGGGAAUUGCGCUUGAAACUAUGCGGCUUGAGUGUGGCAGAGGGGGUGGAAUUCCCGGUGUAGCGGUGGAAUGCGUAGAGAUCGGGAAGAACAUCGGUGGCGAAGGCGGCUCGCUGGGCUGUUGCUGACGCUGAGGCGCGAAAGCGUGGGGAGCAAACAGGAUUAGAUACCCUAGUAGUCCCUGAGCGGGCUGGCAAGGCGCAU